UGUUUGGUGCUCAUCCCUAAUUUGAUGUGUACAGAAAGUUGAAUAUUGAUCUGACUUUAAGUUGUUUCCAACAGCUGUGGGAUUGGCCAGUUAUGUGGAGACGCUUUUACGGAAACCCAACACUGAAUUUAAUCUAAAACUACCCUAUCAAAUUGUGGCUAUUGUUUCCGGUGCUUUGAAUGAUACAGCUGCAAAGAAGUAUGAUUUGGAAGGAUGGUUUCCUGCAUCCAGCACUUACAGAGAACUUGUUUCCUGUUCAAACUGCACUGACUAUCAGUCCAGGAGAUUAGAGAUUCGAUAUGGGUAGAAAAAGGGUAGACUAGCAGUUAUAUUUUUGGAUACAAUAGUAGUUAUAUUUUUGGAUGGGUGUGUAUAGAAAAUAUUUAGUAGACUACUAGUUAUAUUUUUCGGUUGAUGUACAUGGAUAAAAAUUUUAAACAUAAUAACAAGUAUUUGUUAUGUCUUAAAUUUUUAUGUUAGAUGAAAUAUGUAGUUUGGAAUUAUUUGUGGAUGAAAACUUAUAAUAGUUGCUAAUUUUAAUUA